UACGAAGGGGGCUAGCGUUGCUCGGAUUGACUGGGCGUAAAGGGCGCGUAGGCGGUUCGUACAGUCAGACGUGAAAUUCCUGGGCUCAACCUGGGGGCUGCGUUUGAUACGAGCGGACUUGAGUGCGGAAGAGGGUCGUGGAAUUCCCAGUGUAGAGGUGAAAUUCGUAGAUAUUGGGAAGAACACCGGUGGCGAAGGCGGCGACCUGGUCCGAUACUGACGCUGAGGCGCGAAAGCGUGGGGAGCAAACAGG
rnacentral:rRNA from 1 species